UCUUAAUCGGAAUAUCACAAAAUUCAUAGAUUUAAAACCUUUUGUAACUGUGCGUUUUAUGCCAUAAGUACGUGGGAAUAUCCUGCUAUUUUUAUAAAAUCUCAAAAACGAAACACCAUUAACUUUAUCCAAUAACUAUGUAUA